UUGGUAUCAGAGAAUUGUAUUUUCAUUUUCAACUGCCAGUUGAAUAAAACUUCCAGAAAAUUCUCUCUCUAAAACUCCUUCCUACGGUCUAUCAACCAAGCUCAAUUAUCACCUAACAAUAGUAGAAUUUAACAUGGUAUCAGAGCCGGAGUGAAUCGAUUGGAGCGAGAGUUUCGUUUUUGAUUUGGUAACUGAAAGGUGCCGGUGCAAUUUCUCAAUCGAUCUUCGUCUUCUGAGAUUCUCUUAUUUAGAGAAAUUUUUCCAAUGGUGAACUUAGAUAUCGAUAAUCCUCAACUUCCUUUGUACCUUCAACCGUCUGAUGCUCCAGGGAAUGUGAUGAUCUUAGUUCGAUUGACAGGAACUGAAAAUUAUUUCGUGUGGAGCAGAGCAAUGAAGAUUUCAUUGUGAGCCAAGCGCAAAUUAGGAUUUAUCAAUGGUACCUCCACCAAUGCACAAUUUACUGCUGAUUUGGCCAAGGAAUGGGAACAUGUUAAUACCACUGUUCUCACUAGGAUUUGGAACACCGUAUCGGCAAAAUAGUUCAAUGGGAUAAUUUAUGCUAGUAACGCUCAUGAGGUGUGGACAGAUCUUCAGGAUCGUUUCGACAAAAUCAAUGGAUCGAGAAUUCGCAAUCUUCAUCGAGAAAUAGCCACAAUAUCUCAAGGUAAUUCUAAUGUUGCUGCCUAUCAUUCGAGACUCAAACUGCUAUGGGAUAAGUAUAAUACUCUUAUUUCUUCUCUUCCUAUAACACCUGAGACGAGAGAUUUCAUAAAAUAUUUAGAACAACAGAAGUUGUUUCGAUUAUUAAUGGGCCUAAAUGAAAGCUGCAACGCUAUAAGUAGUCAAAUUCUACUCAUGUCUCCAUCACCUAGUGUGAGUCGUGCCUAUGCUAUGCUAAUACAUGAAGAGAGUCGGGGGAAAGUUUGUAUAUCUGGAACAUCCAUGAAUGAAAUAAAUGAGUCUGCUGCAUUGAUGAGUUCUAGGGAUAAUUCACAGAAAUUCAAGAGGUACAACAAUCUGUAUUGUGAGUACUGUAAAAAUAAAGGUCACACAGGAUGUUUGCUAUAAGCUGGUAGGUUGUCCACCUGGUUAUAAAGGAAUGAAAAAGCAGGAAUAUCGACUAGCAAAUGCAACCAUGAAUGAUAACAUCUCUGUGAAGGAUGAUGCAGCUCGAGCUACCACAAAUGUCAAUAAUAGUGGACCAAAUCAGGUUAUGCACAACUACUUCAUGGAUGAGCAAUACAAUAAGAUAUUAAGAUUGUUGAAUCAAGACAAAGAAGAGGAUUUUGCAUAUAUCAGGUAAUGCAGAUUCACAGUUGUUGGCAGGAUCUAUACACUGGGAGAAUGAAUUGGAUUGGUAAGAAAAAAGGUGGUCUCUAUCUCUUACUCCCAGAUGGUUUAGAUAGGAACAAAAUCACACAGCAAAUCAACAGUUGUUUGGCAAAGGAUAUAGUUGAAGACAGUCAUGUACGGCACAGUAGACUUGAGCAUAUGCCAGCUAGAGUCGUGAAGCAGAUAGCUUCCUUGAAAGACAAGAUAUCUACUAAUUGCAAUUUCAAUAAUUGUACUAUUUGUCCUUUAGCAAGACAACUAGGAGACCCCACUUAACAAUAGUAGAGCAGAAUCUAUUUUUCAAUUAGUGCAUGUGGAUAUUUGGGGGCCAUAUCAAGUGCCUACUAAUAAUAGACACAGAUAUUUCC